rnacentral:rRNA from 1 species
UACGGAGGGUGCGAGCGUUGUCCGGAAUCACUGGGCGUAAAGGGCGCGUAGGCGGCCUGAUAAGUAGGGGGUGAAAUCCUGCGGCUUAACCGCAGGGCUGCCCUUCUAAACUGUCAGGCUAGAGCACGGUAGAGGCAGAUGGAAUUCCCGGUGUAGCGGUGGAAUGCGUAGAGAUCGGGAAGAACAUCAGUGGCGAAGGCGGUCUGCUGGGCCGUUGCUGGACGCUGAGGCGCGACAGCGGUGGGGAGC